UACGUAGGGCGCAAGCGUUGUCCGGAUUUAUUGGGCGUAAAGAGCUCGUAGGCGGUUUGUCGCGUCUGCUGUGAAAACUGGAGGCUCAACCUCCAGCCUGCAGUGGGUACGGGCAGACUAGAGUGCGGUAGGGGAGAUUGGAAUUCCUGGUGUAGCGGUGGAAUGCGCAGAUAUCAGGAGGAACACCGAUGGCGAAGGCAGAUCUCUGGGCCGUAACUGACGCUGAGGAGCGAAAGCAUGGGGAGCGAACAGG
rnacentral:rRNA from 1 species